GCCUUCGUGAUGUAACUGGAAAGCACAUCUGGCUGGCAAUCAGAAGGUCCGGAAUUCGAAUCUCCGCGAGAGCA
rnacentral:tRNA from 1 species